rnacentral:rRNA from 1 species
CGGAGGAUCCAAGCGUUAUCCGGAAUUACUGGGCGUAAAGAGUUGCGCAGGUGGCGAAGUAAGUUGGUAGUGAAAGCGUUCGGCUCAACCGGAUAAACAUUAUCAAAACUGCUUUAGCUAGAGGAUGAGAGAGGUUAUUGGAAUUCCCAGUGUAGGAGUGAAAUCCGUAGAUAUUGGGAGGAACACCGAUGGCGUAGGCAGAUAACUGGCUCAUUCCUGACACUAAGGCACGAAAGCGUGGGGAGCAAACGGGAUUAGAUACCCCGGUAGUCCACGCCGUAAACGAUGGAUGCUAGCUGUUAUAGGUAUCGACCCCUGUAGUAGCGAAGCUAACGCGUUAAGCAUCCCGCCUGUGGAGUACGGUCGCAAGACUA